CUCAUUUCUUACAACAGAGACAAAAAGAUCAUUUUCAGCACUUUGUGCAGCCAUGUCAAAUAGAUUCGGAGAUCAUGGGUAUCCAGAAACAUACAGACAAGAGAUUCAUACUCUGGGAAAGUAUGAUAGAGAAUCAAUUCAAGAGUAUGCUUCUAGGGUAGAGAUGCUAGUCAGGAAGUCUUUCUCCACAAUUGACACAGCAACACACAGUACAUGCAGUGUUGAGUAUAUGCUCAGAGGACUGCCGG
rnacentral:lncRNA from 1 species